GACGAACGCUGGCGGCGUGCUUAACACAUGCAAGUCGAACGCUGAAGCUGGGUGCUUGCACCUGGUGGAUGAGUGGCGAACGGGUGAGUAAUACGUGAGUGACCUUCCUUGGACUCUGGGAUAAGCCCGGGAAACUGGGUCUAAUACCGGAUACAACCAGUCCUCGCAUGGGGUGCUGGUGGAAAGGGUUUGUACUGGUUCUUGAUGGGCUCACGUCCUAUCAGCUUGUUGGUGAGGUAAUGGCUUACCAAGGCGACGACGGGUAGCCGGCCUGAGAGGGUGACCGGCCACACUGGGACUGAGACACGGCCCAGACUCCUACGGGAGGCAGCAGUGGGGAAUAUUGCACAAUGGGCGCAAGCCUGAUGCAGCGACGCCGCGUGGGGGAUGACGGCCUUCGGGUUGUAAACCUCUUUCAGCAGGGAAGAAGCGAAAGUGACGGUA
rnacentral:rRNA from 1 species